AGCUCGCUAACCGGACCCUGGAACAUGUAUCUUUUGGACUUCGGUUGGAUUAAGAGACGGAGUUACCUUUCUGCCACCUCCCUGCUGCAUCCAGACACUCCUGAACUUUUCCUGGAAAGCAACAAGACAUCUUUAAAAUAGAUUUUCUGGGCUCAAAUCCUGAACAAGGUCGACUGACACGAUGCAGACGAAGGUGAAGAAGCAGCUUUGCAUUCCACCCAGAUGGUUCAAGUCCCUUAAUGAACUGAAUGACUGGGAAACCAUGGAAAAUKUGAGCCUUUUGAAGUUUAAACGUGAUUGGUCAUCUCAUCAAACCUGGUGCACCAAGAACCUUUGCGAAGCACAAGAACUGGUCUCAGAACAUUUCAAGCUUUUGGUAACUGGACCUAAGAGUUGGAUUAACCUUUUUUUGCAGAACAUAAACAUAAAAUGGACUGWUUUGUUUUAUGUUCACAGCGACUAGAGGUAAUGAGAGCACACACUCAUGAAUCCAGUGUCUUCCACUGUCGUUGGCAUUAGGCUGUUUAUGCAGCAUUUGAUUUUUAACUAAA